ACACAAGUGGACAAACUAUGGGCCGGGCCUGGCUGCAGAUAAGCCCGUGGGCCACAGAGCCGGCAGGCAUGGGCCGUGGGAAACAUAACGGCGGUCGGCGGAAAAAUCAGCUUCCCUCCCCCUUUCGGUAUCGUUUUUUUUUUAACAAACCCAACACAAGUCAACGUCCCCUAAAAAAACAAGUCAACGUUAAAAAAAACCCAACACAAGUCAGAAAAGGAAACACGUACUCCUACUUACGUGUAACAACAAACGGACUCUGGGUCGUCGAAUCGUAGACAAAUAUACUCCGUACUCCGUAUAUCACAUCGGGCUUUCUUCGUAGUACAACAAAGGAGCUGGCCAUCGCCGCCGUGGUCUUCCUUUACUGCACUCUCAUGAUCCACCUGGUGCUCAUCAAGUACUGGCACACAAAGGAGCGCGAUGAACUCGUUGAUAACACCGCAUCCACAGGGCCACAGCUGACGACGAUGCUGAUGCUGGCCGUGACGGGGAUCACGUUGAUCUCCUUGGGAGCGAUGGUGGCCCGACCGUGGUGACUUGGUGCUUACUGCAAUCGCCUCCUUGUUGUCAUCAGGGGGAAUCCUAGCUUUGUUCGCGAUCGGAGAACAUGAAGAUGAGGGACAGAAAUCUAGCGCGAACCACGUGAAAAAUGCCUCGGAUCUUGUAUAGUCGAGUGGGCACGAUCGUUUUAAUUAAUUUUGUUCCUGCGUGCAUGGUGAUUGCCCUUAAUUUGCCCAUUAAAUUUUGAAUUAUCGUGGCUGUUUUGCCGUUACCAAUUGUAAUUGAUUCCCGUGAUUACA